rnacentral:rRNA from 1 species
GACGAACGCUGGCGGCGUGCCUAAUACAUGCAAGUUGAGCGCUGAAGGUUGGUACUUGUACCAACUGGAUGAGCAGCGAACGGGUGAGUAACGCGUGGGGAAUCUGCCUUUGAGCGGGGGACAACAUUUGGAAACGAAUGCUAAUACCGCAUAAAAACUUUAAACACAAGUUUUAAGUUUGAAAGAUGCAAUUGCAUCACUCAAAGAUGAUCCCGCGUUGUAUUAGCUAGUUGGUGAGGUAAAGGCUCACCAAGGCGAUGAUACAUAGCCGACCUGAGAGGGUGAUCGGCCACAUUGGGACUGAGACACGGCCCCAACUCCUACGGGAGGCAGCAGUAGGGAAUCUUCGGCAAUGGACGAAAGUCUGACCGAGCAACGCCGCGUGAGUGAAGAAGGUUUUCGGAUCGUAAAACUCUGUUGGUAGAGAAGAACGUUGGUGAGAGUGGAAAGCUCAUCAAGUGACGGUAACUACCCAGAAAGGGACGGCUAACUACGUG